UAAUACGUAGGGGGCAAGCGUUGUCCGGAUUUACUGGGUGUAAAGGGUGCUCAGGUGGACUUUUAAGUCAGAGGUGAAAUCCCAAAGCUUAACUUUGGAGCUGCCUUUGAUACUGAAAGUCUUGAGUGUGAGAGAGGGCAAUGGAAUAUCUGGUGUAGCAGUGAAAUGCGUAGAUAUCAGAUAGAACACCAAUGGCGAAGGCAGUUGCCUGGCUCAAUACUGACGCUAAAGCACGAAAGUGUGGGGAGCAAACAGGAUUAGAUACCCUGGUAGUCCACACCCUAAACGAUGAAUACUAGAUGUUGGUCUUUUAAUAAGAUCAGUAUCCAAGCUAACGCAUUAAGUAUUCCACCUGGGAAGUACAAUCGCAAGGUUGAAACUUAAAUGAAUUGACGG
rnacentral:rRNA from 1 species